GCUCCUCGAAAGGCCGGGAGGACGUCAUAGCCGCGCUGUGGAGGCUCCAGCCCGCCCCUCUUUUCUUCGCAGUGAAUCGGCUGCGCCCGGGACAGCGCGCACCGACGCUCAAACGCGCGCUCCACCCGGUAGCCUCCUCCUGCCUCAGGCCCGAAGAUGGCGGCUCUCAAACUCCUCUCCUCUGGCCUUCGGCUCUGCCCCUCUGCCCGCGGAUCUAGGGGAGCCUGGUACAAGGGAUAUGUUUGUUCCUUUUCCACCAGUGCUCAUCGCCAUACCAAGUUUUAUACAGAUCCAGUAGAAGCUGUAAAAGACAUUCCUGAUGGUGCAACGGUUUUGGUUGGUGGUUUUGGGCUAUGUGGAAUUCCAGAGAAUCUUAUAGGUGCUUUACUGAAAACUGGAGUAAAAGGACUGACUGCAGUCAGCAACAACGCAGGGGUUGACAAUUUUGGUUUGGGGCUUUUGCUUCGGUCCAAGCAGAUAAAACGCAUGAUCUCUUCAUAUGUGGGAGAAAAUGCAGAAUCUGAACGACAGUACUUAUCUGGUGAAUUAGAAGUGGAGCUGACACCACAGGGCACACUUGCGGAGAGGAUCCGUGCGGGCGGGGCUGGAGUUCCUGCAUUUUACACCCCCACAGGGUAUGGGACCUUGGUACAAGAAGGUGGGUAG